GGGGUCAUGGCUCAGCAGUAGAGCGCUCACCUCGCACGUGCGAGACCCUGGGUUCGAUUCUCAGCACCA
rnacentral:tRNA from 1 species